CCCCUAGAUGUUCUGGGCCGCACGCGCGCUACACUGAACAGUUCAACAAGUCUUAACCUUGGCCGAUAGGUCUGGGUAAUCUUUGAACGCUGUUCGUGAUUGGGAUAGACCUUUGCAAUUAUGGGUCUUCAACGAGGAAUUCCUAGUAAACGCAAGUCAUCAGCUUGCAUUGAUUACGUCCCUGCCCUUUGUACACACCGCCCGUCGCACCUACCGAGUGAAUGGUCCGGUGAAAUCUCGGGACGGCGGCUCGGUCGCUUGCGUCCGACUGCUGAAACUUGAUUAAACCAUAUCAUUUAGAGGAAGGUGAAGUCGUAACA
rnacentral:rRNA from 1 species